GUGAGCCAGGCCAUGUUGUGGAGAGCUUGUCUCGAGAUUAAGUGAUGCUUCCACAGGGUACUCAGGAGAUUAUCCCUAUAUCACCUGGAAACAAGGCUUGCUAGAAGUCUCGGAGCCCAUAUAAGUAUGUGGGUCAAUGUACUGGCUGGUUUUGUGUGUCAACUGGACACAAGCUGGAGUUAUCACAGAGAAAGGAGCCUCCAUUGAAGAAAUGCAUUCCUGAGACCCAGCUGUAAGGCAUUUUCUCAAUUAGUGAUCAAGGGGAGAGGACCCAGCCCACCUGUGGGUGGUGCCAUCUCUGGGCUAGUGGUCUUGGGUUCUAUAAGAAAGCAGGCUGAGCAAGCCAGGGGGAGCAAGCCAGUAAGUAACAUCCCUCCACGGCCUCUGCAUCAGCUCCUGCUUCCUGACCUGCUUGAGUUCCUGUCCUGACUCUCUUUGGUGAUGAACAGCCAUGUGGAAGUAGGACUCAGGCUGCUGUCUGGCCUCUGCCUGGCUGUUGAGUCAUAACCACCACCAGAAGAUGACAAGAACACAGCCGCUGGAACCCGUCAGCCAAUAGCCCCGAGCAAGUUAUUAACUCCUAAGCCUCAAUUUUCUCAUCAGUAAAAUGGGCCUAAUAAUCAUUUGCAAAGCCAGGCUAAUGCCAACCUUGGGUUUCCCACACGGCAGUUAGAGAGAUGAAAUGCAAUAAAUGCAUGUGAAAGCAACUUGUGAACCAGAAAGCCGCUCACACUGGGAGCCAUUACUAAGAGGUUGUGAGAAACAAGUGCCUGGGAAAGAGUCUAUUAUCGCGAGCGCACGCGUGUGUGUGGAUUGUGCCACUCAGAGGACAACGUUUGGGAGCUGAUGCUCUCCUUUCACAGGGUUUUCACAUCCGGGCUGGACUUCCGGCCACUCUGCUACCCUGAGAGACGGUCGGCUUUACCAACUCCUAGACAUUUCCUUCACCGCCUCGACUCUUUCUGCUUACUCGUUUGUACUUCCGUCUUACCUUUCUGAGCCUGCAACCCUGUACACGGGGACACUCCGGCCUGCUUCCCCCCAUACUGCCUUGCUCUCAGUGUCUGAGAGAGGCAGUGUCUCAGGGAGCUCCUGCUGGAGUCACGUGCUUUAGUGGACCAUACCCUGACGCCAGAUACCGCCAGCGUUGGGUCCAAGGAGAACUCACCUGAGGAGAGAGGAAAUCAUCUGUCCAAUGUAGACCUUGAAAACUAACUCCCUAUCCCCCCUCACCACCCCCUCCACAGGGUUUCUCAAAAGGUCCACCUGCCUCUGUCUCCUGAGAGCUGUGACUGAAGCCUGUGCCACCCCUGCUUGGCAAACUGUCUUUUUAAAAAAGAAUAAAUUCGUAUUUUUCUGUG
ensembl:lncRNA